GGCUUUGGCGGCAGCUACACAUGCAGUCGAGCGGUAGCACAGAGAGCUUGCUCUCGGGUGACGAGCGGCGGACGGGUGAGUAAUGUCUGGGAAACUGCCUGAUGGAGGGGGAUAACUACUGGAAACGGUAGCUAAUACCGCAUAACGUCGCAAGACCAAAGUGGGGGACCUUCGGGCCUCAUGCCAUCAGAUGUGCCCAGAUGGGAUUAGCUGGUAGGUGGGGUAACGGCUCACCUAGGCGACGAUCCCUAGCUGGUCUGAGAGGAUGACCAGCCACACUGGAACUGAGACACGGUCCAGACUCCUACGGGAGGCAGCAGUGGGGAAUAUUGCACAAUGGGCGCAAGCCUGAUGCAGCCAUGCCGCGUGUGUGAAGAAGGCCUUCGGGUUGUAAAGCACUUUCAGCGGGGAGGAAGGCGGUGAGGUUAAUAACCUUGUCGAUUGACGUUACCCGCAGAAGAAGCACCGGCUAACUCCGUGCCAGCAGCCGCGGUAAUACGGAGGGUGCAAGCGUUAAUCGGAAUUACUGGGCGUAAAGCGCACGCAGGCGGUCUGUCAAGUCGGAUGUGAAAUCCCCGGGCUCAACCUGGGAACUGCAUUCGAAACUGGCAGGCUAGAGUCUUGUAGAGGGGGGUAGAAUUCCAGGUGUAGCGGUGAAAUGCGUAGAGAUCUGGAGGAAUACCGGUGGCGAAGGCGGCCCCCUGGACAAAGACUGACGCUCAGGUGCGAAAGCGUGGGGAGCAAACAGGAUUAGAUACCCUGGUAGUCCACGCUGUAAACGAUGUCGAUUUGGAGGUUGUGCCCUUGAGGCGUGGCUUCCGGAGCUAACGCGUUAAAUCGACCGCCUGGGGAGUACGGCCGCAAGGUUAAAACUCAAAUGAAUUGACGGGGGCCCGCACAAGCGGUGGAGCAUGUGGUUUAAUUCGAUGCAACGCGAAGAACCUUACCUGGUCUUGACAUCCACAGAACUUUCCAGAGAUGGAUUGGUGCCUUCGGGAACUGUGAGACAGGUGCUGCAUGGCUGUCGUCAGCUCGUGUUGUGAAAUGUUGGGUUAAGUCCCGCAACGAGCGCAACCCUUAUCCUUUGUUGCCAGCGGUCCGGCCGGGAACUCAAAGGAGACUGCCAGUGAUAAACUGGAGGAAGGUGGGGAUGACGUCAAGUCAUCAUGGCCCUUACGACCAGGGCUACACACGUGCUACAAUGGCAUAUACAAAGAGAAGCGACCUCGCGAGAGCAAGCGGACCUCAUAAAGUAUGUCGUAGUCCGGAUUGGAGUCUGCAACUCGACUCCAUGAAGUCGGAAUCGCUAGUAAUCGUAGAUCAGAAUGCUACGGUGAAUACGUUCCCGGGCCUUGUACACACCGCCCGUCACACCAUGGGAGUGGGUUGCAAAAGAAGUAGGUAGCUUAACCUUCGGGAGGGCGCUACCACUUGGAUCAGGGC
rnacentral:rRNA from 1 species